rnacentral:rRNA from 1 species
AUGUUACUAUGGAUUUCAUUUCUGGCCUGCCAGUCUCAGGUCAAUUUGAUUGCAUAUUCUUGGUUAUUGACAAGUUCAGUUGCUGAAGUGUUCCUAGAUAAUGUGUAUAAGUUGCAUGGGAUGCCAGAGUAUAUAGUGUCAGACAGAGACCCUGUUUUGACUAGUGCAUUUUGGCAAACCUUGGUCAAAAGAACUGGCACCCAUCUUAAUAUGAGUACUGCUUAUCAUCCAGCUACUGCUGGGCAGACUGAGAGAGUGAAUCAACAAGUUGAGUGUUAUCUCAGGAGUUUUAUCAGUGCACAUCCUAAACAAUGGAGCAAGUGGCUUUCAAUGUGUGAGUUCUGGUAUAAUACUAAUUGGCAUUCUGCAGUGGGCAAGACUCCCUUUGAGAUUUUGUACGGCCAUCCUCCUAGGUACUUUGGCAUCACUGCUAGUGACACUGUGGCUUCUCCUGAUAUCCAGCAGUGGUUAUUAGAAAGGCAGACUGUGUUAGAUUCUGUCACCCAACAUCUGCACAGGGCUCAACAAAGAAUGAAAGCUCAAGCUGAUAAGCACCGAACUGAACGUGUCUUUGAAGUUGGUGAAUGGGUUUUUCUCAAGCUCCAACCUUAUGUCCAGUCCUCAGUUGUUCGUCGAGCAAAUCACAAACUCUCCUUCAAAUACUUUGGUCCAUAUAAAAUUCUGGGCAAGAUUGGUGAAGUGGCAUACAAGCUGGAGUUGCCUGCUACUAGCAAAGUCCAUCCAGUAUUCCAUGUAUCGCAACUCAAGAAGGUGCCAGUGCAAGUGCUUCAGUCUCGAGUGCGUCAGGUUGGUCAGAAAACA